rnacentral:rRNA from 1 species
UGGGGAAUAUUGGACAAUGGGGGAAACCCUGAUCCAGCAAUGCCGCGUGUGUGAAGAAGGCCUUCGGGUUGUAAAGCACUUUCAGUGGGGAGGAAGGGGUGUGUGCUAAUACCAUACAUCAUUGACGUUACCCACAGAAGAAGCACCGGCUAACUCUGUGCCAGCAGCCGCGGUAAUACAGAGGGUGCAAGCGUUAAUCGGAAUGACUGGGCGUAAAGCGUGUGUAGGUGGUUGGAUAAGUUAGAUGUGAAAUCCCCGGGCUUAACCUGGGAACUGCGUUUAAGACUGUUUAACUAGAGUACUGUAGAGGAUAGUGGAAUUUCCAGUGUAGCGGUGAAAUGCGUAGAUAUUGGAAGGAACACCAGUGGCGAAGGCGACUAUCUGGAUAGAUACUGACACUGAGACACGAAAGCGUGGGGAGCAAACAGGAUUAGAUACCCCUGUAGUCC